rnacentral:rRNA from 1 species
AUUUCCCUACGGGGGGCAGCAGUGGGGGAUAUUGCACAAUGGGGGGAACCCUGAUGCAGCGACGCCGCGUGGGUGAAGAAGCGCCUCGGCGCGUAAAGCCCUGUCAGCAGGGAAGAAAAUGACGGUACCUGACGAAGAAGCCCCGGCUAACUACGUGCCAGCAGCCGCGGUAAUACGUAGGGGGCAAGCGUUAUCCGGAAUGAUUGGGCGUAAAGGGUGCGCAGGCGGUCCUGCAAGUCUGGAGUGUAAC